ensembl:lncRNA
CAUGGCUGAAGGUUAUUGUUAGGCACAAUGCAGCCUUGGGUGUGUUAUUGAUUUCAUGAAAUAGUUACCACAUGAUAAUUUAGGAGUAACAGAAUGUUUAUAUGCAACAAAACAAAUCAAACAUGACUGAAAAAUCUUGCCAAAGUCUUCCAUAUUUUUUUAAACGUACAGACAGGCAUGUUUGAUUAUGCUUCAGGUGCCCUGCUCUAAUGUGUAUGUUACAUACCUCCACAGUUGUGAAUUUAACUUGGUGGCCUUGGCGCUUGCUCGAAGGUGACAUAUGUUCACCUUAUCAUUAAUUCUGAGCUUGGACAAGGCCUGGUCCCGCCAUAAGGACACCUCAAGGAUCCUGGAGCCGCUUUUGAUCCCCACGUCCAAGAUGGGGACUUCUGUGUCCCUCACAGUCGUCAUCCUUGGAACCUGCAUCUAUAAAGUUAUGGAGUUGUGCAGUGAUAAAUGAGUUUGUCAUUGGUGGAUGGCAGUCGUAAGGUGUACAGACAUCUUGAGGGGAAAUUAAUGGGAAAGUAACCUACACAAAUGAAAUGACCGUUAUCAGCUCGUCAGCACGUGAUUGAUCAUAGCCAAUGAGACCGCUGGAACUUUGAACAGGAAGUCAACCGCUUUUCCCGCCCGUGUUCCCCCAGUGUGAUUGCUUCCUUCAGAAUACUUGAGGAGCGUCUCGCUGCAGCCUGCGGUGGACAUCCAACCCGGCCCACAUCCAAGUGUGACGUCACAGACCACGCCCAUGUCACAAUACGUCACAUUCUCAAUCAUUUUGAAACAGGAAGAAGCAUCAAUAAGAAGAUAAUUUGUAUUGUUUGCCAACCGCUAAAAAAGAAGCUGUUGUUUGCCGUGUCGCAUUCUACACAUUUUCAGUCCAAGCCUGAUGCAGGGCAGUUCUCCCGGGUUAAGGGGUCCCUGCUGCAGUUUCACCAGUAAAGAAAAUUACUUGUUACAGUUCACUUGAAGGACCACAUAAGCCAUGCAGUGGUGCAUGGAGGAGCGCCAAGAGGACAUAAAGUGGAAGUUUGUAAGGGACAUUGGUCCAGCGUGGUACAGAGUCAUCGUGGGUUAUUCUGUGGGGAGGUGACAGGGCCUGCCGUUCUCCAGAUGGACAGUAAAAAUCAACAGAAUGCCAUCAAAGACUACCUGGAGGGAGAAUCGGAGGAUAUAUUGAAGCAAGGACUCUCUCUGUGUAGUCUAUGUAUGUAUGUGUGUGUACUGCAUGUCAAGAACUGUUUAUCUGAUCAUUCAGCUGCUCAUUCAGCUGCUCAGACUUUAUAAUAUUUGGAGCAUACCUUUUGUUAAACACAACCAGUCAAAAGUUUUUGAACAGUGAGUUUUUUUAUGUUUUUAAAGAAAUAUCUUCUGCUCAUCAAGCCUGCAUUUAUUUAAUCCGAAGUACAGCAAAAACAGU